UGGAAAGUAGAGAUAUGCCGAGUGGGGUGGGCAAAGAGAGUGACCCCUGAUGUUUGACAGUCCUUGGUAACUUUAUUCAGCUCUGAUUGUGACUUCAAAGCUGACAAAUCCAUCAACAAUUGGUACGCUGCUGUCCAGGGUUGAUGGAGGUCUCGUCCACCAGUCUGUCGUACUCCAGCCUGAACUCCUCCAGCUCGCCGUUAUUGCCGAAAGCCCCCCACUCCGUGUUAACGCACAUGCGGCCCUCCUCGCCUUCCACCAGCUCCACCGUCCACAUCUCUUCCAUGUAACAGGCGUUACAACCGGUACCUGUAAUCAGCACCUCCUCAGCACCUCCUCGGCCACGCACCAAUCAGCCUUCAUUACCACCUGCAUUAAAGCCUGCCAGAUCCCGGAAAUCCUCGCCAGAGUAUUAGCAUUUCUCCUGCGUGUUCCCUCCGUGUUUCCCGCCGUGCUGACCUCCUCCGCCACACCGCCAAGCCAUCCACCGGCCGCACGUUCCCCGCCUCAACGAACUUCCAAUACCCCCCAAGGAUCCAUCCUCAUAUCCGCUUCAAUAAACCUUUC